rnacentral:lncRNA from 1 species
UUUUUUUUUUUUUCUGUUGAGUAGAAUGAGAUGUGGGAAACUACCUUUAAAACAAAUGUGACUGUUCCUGGCUAGAAGUUUGGGCUUUACCCAUCCAGAAAAAGGCAGUAUAGUCUGGGCCAUUCCCAACAAUAGAGUGGCGGCAGGCUAAAUAUAACCUCACUUACAGCCCCAGAAUUGGCAUCUAACACGAGGGGCUUACAAUAACACUGGAGCUGCUCCUGCUCCAGCAACAGCUGAAGCGAGGGGAGGGAAAGCUCUGUUUGUUUUUCAGCCGGGCCCUCAUUCUUCACUCAGCUGUUUGCUAUUAGGGCUGGAGCAGUAGCAGUGAGAAAUUCAUUGCUGCUUGGUCUCCGAAUCCUGACACAGUAACAGCGCAGACCCAACCAGCCAAAUCCACAAAGGAUCAAGGGAAGGGGAAAAAGAGAGCAACAAUCUUUUGAGCGCUUGCCGUCUCUCUUAUAUUGCACCUUUCAUCCCCGAGGAGCCGAUUUACCGAUGGUCUGACUCUGCCCCAUUCCUGCAGAGGUGCGUAUUGCGAGUGCUGGAAGCAGCACAAGGAAUUUCCUCUCGUCUGGCUCCCUCCACCCUACUGGUGUGACCUGUGUGACUGGGAGGUUCUUCCACCAUGUCCCUCCAGCUGUCACCUGCACCCCACUGCCUGCCAGCUCUGCUCUCCUGCCGGUGGGGAAGAGGGAUGGGGAACAGAGAGGAGUGAAAUGAACAUGAAUGAACAGAGAGGACAGACAGCAGGAGUGUCCUGCACUCUGUGUUCUCUGGUACCUGGAAGGGCACAAACCAAGCUUAAUCUUAAUUAAAUUCAUCCUGAUGUUCUGAUGGCCUUUGAACCCAAUUCUGCUGGCACUGACACAGGCUUACGCUACAUUGCAUUAGAAGACAGGGCCUCUGCUUAUACCAGAAAACUUCAGGAGCACAUCUGCUGAAGUACCAGGAACCACUGAAGAUGGAGAUCAUGCCAGUGGUCAUCACCAGCCAAACAUCCCCACAGAGCUGGAGCAGCACAACUGAAGGGCUGGCAAGCUGUGACACCAGAGUACCAGAACCUCCCGCAGUGGGGCAGAGCCAGAGGAUCAGCUGAUGUUGGCUUCAUACUGGAAGGAAACCUAACACCUGAGUCCGGAAAUUCUGGUGCCAUCACACUGCCCAAGAUAGAAGAAGAAUUCCAAGAGUUGCAAGAGGCAGAAGCUUUCAGCUUUGUUACUUUCCUGGAAAACACAGAAUUCUUUUUGCACUUUCAUCCGAGAUGAAUAAACAAAAUAAAUUGCAUCCCACAUCAAACUGAAAAUAAUCCAUGACUUCUUUAUUUUAUUUAAAGCAUGACUGCUUUAAUUUCUUUAGCCACAUCUGCUUUGUAUCUUGAAGAUUUUUUUUAUUUUGAAUGCGUGGCAUAUGUCCAGGAUGUUUUUCAUCUGAAAACCUCUAAUUUUGUGCUCUGAAAGAUCAGCCAACAGUAAUAGCAAUAUUGCCUCAUUCUGCAAGGAAAAGCAUAAGCAUGACCCUCUAAGAUUUCCUUGCAGAAGUUGUAGCUGCAUAUUCCUGGUGCAUAUGAUUUCUCAGAGAGGAUAGAGCAUAUAAAGAAGUAAACCAGCGUUGAUUAUUUCACUAAUAACAAUAAUAAUAAAAGAGCAAAUAAUUCUUUGAAUUCAACGAGUAUGACAAGCCUUUCCUGACUUCUUAGCCCCAGGUCACAGAGAACAUGACAUUGCAUUGGCAGUUGCAUUUGCAUUCAUUCUGGUCUGCAAAUACAUCUGGAGUGGGGAAAGAGGAGAGCCCCCACUAGAAUGCAACUUGGAAUUUCCCAGUCUUUCUUCCAGCUCUUACAAAAAAAUCAAAGAAAACAGAUGCAGCAAGGGCACUGUGACACAACAAGUGUUAAGACGUAAACACUCAAAGGUUCUGAACUGUGAAAUAUAUUCUAGCUUGUUCAUGGUCUGGAAGCUAAACACAUCUUGCUGCAGCAGUGCUCAGCAUCUGGUUGUUGGAUUAGAGUUAGACAGCUGGAAGCCUACUGUUAAAAAUAAAUGCUAUCACAGUGGUAAACAAAAGGUCUUUAAAAUAUUUGAGUAACCAAAAGGUCGCAAAGGAAAUACAAGAAUAACAGGAGAAAAUAAAAAUGUUAUCUUAGUUAUACAUUGUGCUAAGUCAGAUAGGAAAGUUUGAAAUAGAUACUUGAGUUAUUUUUUGAUGUGGAGCACA